GCCGGCGUGCUCUGCCGGCACCGAAGGGGGCAUUUGCUCUGCUUUCUCUGCUUUGGGGGCGGGGUCGCGCGGUUCGUCCCGCGGGCCGGUG
rnacentral:tRNA from 1 species